rnacentral:rRNA from 1 species
AUUGAACGCUGGCGGCAGGCCUAACACAUGCAAGUCGAACGAGUGGCGGACGGGUGAGUAAUGUCUGGGAAACUGCCUGAUGGAGGGGGAUACCACUGGAACCGGUAGCUAAUACCGCAUACCAUCGGAUGUACCCCGAUGGGAUUAGCUAGUAGGGUGGGUAAAGGCUCACCUAGGCGACGAUCCCUAGCUGGUCUGAGAGGAUGACCAGCCACACUGGAACUGAGACACGGUCCAGACUCCUACGGGAGGCAGCAGUGGGGAAUAUUGCACAAUGGGCGAAAGCCUGAUGCAGCCAUGCCGCGUGUAUGAAGAAGGCCGUCGGGUUGUAAAGUACUUUCAGCGGGGAGGCGUUACCCGCAGAAGAAGCACCGGCUAACUCCGUGCCAGCAGCCGCGGUAAUAC